rfam:Triticum aestivum genome assembly, contig: Triticum_aestivum_CS42_TGACv1_scaffold_050051_1BS
GGAUGCAAUCAUACCUACUAUUGUAGCGGAUCCCAUCAGAACUUCGAAGUUAAGCAUGUUUGGGCAAGAGUAGUACUAGGAUGGGUGACCUCCUAGGAAGUCCUCAUGUUGCAUUCU